GGUUAAGCGACUAAGCGUACACGGUGGAUGCCCUGGCAGUCAGAGGCGAUGAAGGACGUGCUAAUCUGCGAUAAGCGUCGGUAAGGUGAUAUGAACCGUUAUAACCGGCGAUUUCCGAAUGGGGAAACCCAGUGUGAUUCGUCACACUAUCAUUAACUGAAUCCAUAGGUUAAUGAGGCGAACCGGGGGAACUGAAACAUCUAAGUACCCCGAGGAAAAGAAAUCAACCGAGAUUCCCCCAGUAGCGGCGAGCGAACGGGGAGCAGCCCAGAGCCUGAAUCAGUGUCUGUGUUAGUGGAAGCGUCUGGAAAGGCGCGCGAUACAGGGUGACAGCCCCGUACACAAAAAUGCACAUACUGUGAGCUCGAUGAGUAGGGCGGGACACGUGGUAUCCUGUCUGAAUAUGGGGGGACCAUCCUCCAAGGCUAAAUACUCCUGACUGACCGAUAGUGAACCAGUACCGUGAGGGAAAGGCGAAAAGAACCCCGGCGAGGGGAGUGAAAAAGAACCUGAAACCGUGUACGUACAAGCAGUGGGAGCCUCUUUAUGGGGUGACUGCGUACCUUUUGUAUAAUGGGUCAGCGACUUAUAUUCUGUAGCAAGGUUAACCGAAUAGGGGAGCCGAAGGGAAACCGAGUCUUAACUGGGCGUUAAGUUGCAGGGUAUAGACCCGAAACCCGGUGAUCUAGCCAUGGGCAGGUUGAAGGUUGGGUAACACUAACUGGAGGACCGAACCGACUAAUGUUGAAAAAUUAGCGGAUGACUUGUGGCUGGGGGUGAAAGGCCAAUCAAACCGGGAGAUAGCUGGUUCUCCCCGAAAGCUAUUUAGGUAGCGCCUCGUGAAUUCAUCUCCGGGGGUAGAGCACUGUUUCGGCAAGGGGGUCAUCCCGACUUACCAACCCGAUGCAAACUGCGAAUACCGGAGAAUGUUAUCACGGGAGACACACGGCGGGUGCUAACGUCCGUCGUGAAGAGGGAAACAACCCAGACCGCCAGCUAAGGUCCCAAAGUCAUGGUUAAGUGGGAAACGAUGUGGGAAGGCCCAGACAGCCAGGAUGUUGGCUUAGAAGCAGCCAUCAUUUAAAGAAAGCGUAAUAGCUCACUGGUCGAGUCGGCCUGCGCGGAAGAUGUAACGGGGCUAAACCAUGCACCGAAGCUGCGGCAGCGACACUAUGUGUUGUUGGGUAGGGGAGCGUUCUGUAAGCCUGCGAAGGUGUACUGUGAGGUAUGCUGGAGGUAUCAGAAGUGCGAAUGCUGACAUAAGUAACGAUAAAGCGGGUGAAAAGCCCGCUCGCCGGAAGACCAAGGGUUCCUGUCCAACGUUAAUCGGGGCAGGGUGAGUCGACCCCUAAGGCGAGGCCGAAAGGCGUAGUCGAUGGGAAACAGGUUAAUAUUCCUGUACUUGGUGUUACUGCGAAGGGGGGACGGAGAAGGCUAUGUUGGCCGGGCGACGGUUGUCCCGGUUUAAGCGUGUAGGCUGGUUUUCCAGGCAAAUCCGGAAAAUCAAGGCUGAGGCGUGAUGACGAGGCACUACGGUGCUGAAGCAACAAAUGCCCUGCUUCCAGGAAAAGCCUCUAAGCAUCAGGUAACAUCAAAUCGUACCCCAAACCGACACAGGUGGUCAGGUAGAGAAUACCAAGGCGCUUGAGAGAACUCGGGUGAAGGAACUAGGCAAAAUGGUGCCGUAACUUCGGGAGAAGGCACGCUGAUAUGUAGGUGAAGCGACUUGCUCGUGGAGCUGAAAUCAGUCGAAGAUACCAGCUGGCUGCAACUGUUUAUUAAAAACACAGCACUGUGCAAACACGAAAGUGGACGUAUACGGUGUGACGCCUGCCCGGUGCCGGAAGGUUAAUUGAUGGGGUUAGCGGUAACGCGAAGCUCUUGAUCGAAGCCCCGGUAAACGGCGGCCGUAACUAUAACGGUCCUAAGGUAGCGAAAUUCCUUGUCGGGUAAGUUCCGACCUGCACGAAUGGCGUAAUGAUGGCCAGGCUGUCUCCACCCGAGACUCAGUGAAAUUGAACUCGCUGUGAAGAUGCAGUGUACCCGCGGCAAGACGGAAAGACCCCGUGAACCUUUACUAUAGCUUGACACUGAACAUUGAGCCUUGAUGUGUAGGAUAGGUGGGAGGCUUUGAAGUGUGGACGCCAGUCUGCAUGGAGCCGACCUUGAAAUACCACCCUUUAAUGUUUGAUGUUCUAACGUUGGCCCCUGAUCGGGGUUGCGGACAGUGUCUGGUGGGUAGUUUGACUGGGGCGGUCUCCUCCUAAAGAGUAACGGAGGAGCACGAAGGUUGGCUAAUCCUGGUCGGACAUCAGGAGGUUAGUGCAAUGGCAUAAGCCAGCUUGACUGCGAGCGUGACGGCGCGAGCAGGUGCGAAAGCAGGUCAUAGUGAUCCGGUGGUUCUGAAUGGAAGGGCCAUCGCUCAACGGAUAAAAGGUACUCCGGGGAUAACAGGCUGAUACCGCCCAAGAGUUCAUAUCGACGGCGGUGUUUGGCACCUCGAUGUCGGCUCAUCACAUCCUGGGGCUGAAGUAGGUCCCAAGGGUAUGGCUGUUCGCCAUUUAAAGUGGUACGCGAGCUGGGUUUAGAACGUCGUGAGACAGUUCGGUCCCUAUCUGCCGUGGGCGCUGGAGAACUGAGGGGGGCUGCUCCUAGUACGAGAGGACCGGAGUGGACGCAUCACUGGUGUUCGGGUUGUCAUGCCAAUGGCACUGCCCGGUAGCUAAAUGCGGAAGAGAUAAGUGCUGAAAGCAUCUAAGCACGAAACUUGCCCCGAGAUGAGUUCUCCCUGACUCCUUGAGAGUCCUGAAGGAACGUUGAAGACGACGACGUUGAUAGGCCGGGUGUGUAAGCGCAGCGAUGCGUUGAGCUAACCGGUACUAAUGAACCGUGAGGCUUAACCUU
rnacentral:rRNA from 1 species